GGCAUUUCUUAGUAGUGAUAACAGUACUUAAGUUGUGAUUUUCAGUUAUUAUGUUUUCAUUUUCAUUUUAUGCUUGAUUUGUAUUACUAAACCUCGCUUGUUUUAAGCUGUUAAGACUGUUUCCUUUACUUUUAUUGUAGAGUCAUCUGCUAGAAAUGAAAGGGAAAUUGAACUCUCAUGGAUCUCGACUAUCUUUUACGAAGUCGUUAUAAGUGUAAUCAAGAUUCUCUUAGUCCUUUACUGUAAGAGCUCUUGUGGAUUGUCAGUAAUGAAAAGACUUGUGGUAAUUCUAAAGCAAUGGGUGAUGUCAAUGAAUUUGCUCAAACGCAGAUUGUAAAGUGGAUAAACAUUAUGUUAUCUUCAUCAGUUCGUCUGAUAAAUCCACAAGCAUUGACUGGUCCUCCUCUGAAAUGAGCUUCAAUACUCUCAGAAUGAUCCUGGGCCCUCUCCUCAGUGGUUGGGUCAUCAUGAACCCAGUUUCAAACUGAAAGUGCUUCCAUGAAUGAUAAUCGUUUACUAAAGAUGAGAAUCGAUUCUUCCUUGGCCAGCACAUGUAGUGGGAAAUUAGGAAGUUCAUAUGAAUGCCUGUAACAAGCAAUGGUCAGGGACUCUUUCUGAUAGACCUGAUGGUUCAAAGAAUGGCGAAUGUCAACUUUUAGAUGAUAGUCAGGUCCUUUGCAUUUGAUGAAGAUUGUUCCUUCAAAAUGGAAUUUACUCUCUGGGAGAAAAAGGACAUCCCAAACUAAAAAUAAUAGGAAACUUGGGCCUAGAAAUAGAGAAAUCCAAAUUGAGCAUCAAUGCCAAUUUACAAUGAGCCAAAAGGGAUCAACUAGUGAGGAAAAUUUCCAGGGCAACCCUAUCAAUGAAGACUAUAAUCAUUCAAAUGCAACUUCUAGUUCUCAGUAUGCUGAAGAAGAAUAUUCCAGCCUUCUUUCGGACUGCCUUCUUGCUGCUGUCAAGGUUUUGAUGAAUUUAACAAAUGAAAAUCCACUCGGCUGUCGGCAAAUUGCUGCUUCGGGGCCCCUAGAGACCUUGUCUACUUUAAUUGCCUGCCACUACGCUACAUUUUGCUCAUAUUUGCCGCACAGCAGUGAAAUGGAAGCGAUUCUCUUAUUGUAGAACUCCCCAACCAGGACAGACCUCUUACCGUUCCAGAGUUGGAUUUCCUUGUAGCAAUACUGGGUUUGCUUGUGAACCUAGUGGAGAAGGAUGAACGUAACAGAUCAUGGCUUGCAGCAGCUCCUGUUUCCUUACCAAAUUCAAAAGGAUUAAGAGAGGGGAGUCCUAUGGCUGUGAUUCCUCUGCUAUGUGCUAUCUUCCUUGCAAACCAAGGAGAAGAUGAUGUUGCUGGAGAAAUUCUU